rnacentral:rRNA from 1 species
UACGUAGGGUGCGAGCGUUGUCCGGAAUUACUGGGCGUAAAGAGCUCGUAGGUGGUUUGUCGCGUUGUUCGUGAAAACUCACAGCUUAACUGUGGGCGUGCGGGCGAUACGGGCAGACUGGAGUACUGCAGGGGAGACUGGAAUUCCUGGUGUAGCGGUGGAAUGCGCAGAUAUCUGGAGGAACACCGGUGGCGAAGGCGGCUCUCUGGUCUGUAACUGACGCUGAGGCGCGAAAGCGUGGGGAGCAAACAGG